rnacentral:rRNA from 1 species
GUUGAACGCUGGCGGCAUGCCUUACACAUGCAAGUCGAACGGCAGCAUGGAGAGCUUGCUUUCUGAUGGCGAGUGGCGAACGGGUGAGUAAAGCAUCGGAACGUACCGUGUAGUGGGGGAUAACGUAGCGAAAGUUACGCUAAUACCGCAUACGCACUGAGGUGGAAAGCAGGGGAUCGUAAGACCUUGCGCUAUACGAGCGGCCGAUGUCAGAUUAGCUAGUUGGUAGGGUAAAGGCCUACCAAGGCGACGAUCUGUAGCGGGUCUGAGAGGAUGAUCCGCCACACUGGGACUGAGACACGGCCCAGACUCCUACGGGAGGCAGCAGUGGGGAAUUUUGGACAAUGGGGGCAACCCUGAUCCAGCCAUGCCGCGUGAGUGAAGAAGGCCUUCGGGUUGUAAAGCUCUUUCGGCCGGGAAGAAAUCGCACAGGCUAAUACCCUGUGUGGAUGACGGUACCGGCAUAAGAAGCACCGGCUAACUACGUGCCAGCAGCCGCGGUAA